AGGUCCUGUGUUUGGAAACCAGGACCUCUUCACAGGGCUGGGUGUGUUGGUGGACACGUACCCCAAUGAGGAAAAACACCUAGAGAGGAUCUACCCCUUUGUGUUGGCGAUGGUGUCUGCACCGCCAUGCUGCGCAACCACAAUCACAACACUUUCAUCUUCAUCAGAUACGUCCGCCGCAGGCCCACUGUGAGAAUACACACACACUCAUUUUAAAGGCUCAACGAAAUAUCACUAUCCAAGUUAUUGUGUAAUAACUAUGUAAAUAAUAAUGAUGCAUAUUGGGUCACUCUGGAGUCUGAGAAAACAGUUAUGUUGAAGUGAAUUGUUUCAACACACAUGUCAGGUAUAUGAUGCCUUGACUGUACUAGGUAGUGCCUUGGCAUACCCUGUUGAGCAUACUCCCAAUUUCUGUCUCCACUAGAUUAUGAUUGACAUGGAGGGACUGCCUGGACAUACCGGGGGUGCGGUUGCCUCAGGGCUACUACUUUGGAUCCUCUGCCAUCACAGGAGAUCUCUCUGACAAUCACGAUGUGAUCUCCCUGAAACUGUACCAGCUGACGGUGUUACAUAGUGAGACGUAACACCGUCAGAUGAGAUCCCUCUACCCAGUGUAGAUGACAUAGACCUACUAAGGAGUAAGGAUCGCUACCCCUCUCACACAAACAGAAGAACAUACACAUUCAUUGGCGUUACCCUAUUUGGGUAACAUAGUUAUUCUUGAUGAAAAGCUAAACUACAAAUACAUACUAUCAAAUUAUUAGGUUAAACUGUUAGGGCUCCUUAACCAACUCAGUGGCCUUAUGGUUAGUAUCUGCCCUGAGAUUGGAAGGUUGGGGGUUCGAUCCCCGAUCAUACCAAAAAAUGUCUUUCUGCUUGUCACUCAGCAAUAAGGAGAUGGAUUGGAGAUGCUCUGGCCUGCGAUAGACUAGUGUCCUGUCCAGGGGGUGUAAUUAUACAUCAAGCUGUCCAGGGGGUGUAAUUGUAUGUCAAGCUGUCCAGGGGGUGUAAUUGUGGGCUGCUCUGGUUCCAAGGCUUAGGGCUUCUUGUCACUCUUGUCACCUCAAUUGUUUACCUUUUUUUAUCCAUCCUAACAUCUUUCUCUCUUUCGCUCUGUUAGUGGGUGAGAAUGAAGAGGGAUGGAGUAAUAUUGCCAUGUUCUUCACCAUCCUCUUCUCCAUGCUGGGCUGUUUCCUGCUCAUCGUGGUCGGCCUCAUCGUCUACAGCCACUGUAACGAGAACAGACAAACGCUUCUACUGAGAGUGAGAGGGAGGGAGGCCUGUCAUCAUAACCUCUAUUACUGCAGUCUAAGGACAAAACUGCACUAAGACACUGAAAUGACUGACGAGGCUGAAAUGAGACUCCUAAGACACUGGGACACUGAAAUGAGACUCCUAAGACACUGGGACACUAAAAUGAGAACAAGACAGAAACUGACCUCAAUGUAAACCAAUAUGCUGACAGACAGUGGUACCCCUGGGACAGCACUAGUGAAUCCUGGGAAAGACUGAGCAGUAGAUGGAUGCAUUUAAACACUACAGCAACAAACCACGCUGACCCCUGCCAUAAGUAGAGAUAGACUGAUACCUUUUUACUCCCUGUCCCCACCUUCACCAACCAGGCCUUACUCUACACAUAAAUGUACUAACAACGUGUAAAUGACCUGUGUUGUCAUAGUCCAGCGGCUAAUUGUCCGCCAGGGGUGUAAUGGACAAAAUCUGCGAUGACACUAUAGCCAAAAAUACUUAUUUAGACAUGCCCUAGCUGCGUGUGAAAUUUGGUGUCUUUUAUCACAAAAUACACCAUUUUCCCCCCACUGGCUACACUGGACUCUGCCAUUGCUGGUUUUGUUUUUGUCUUUUUGAGGGUCUGGAGAGAUUGAUUUAUACUGACAGAUGAGAAUGUCAAAGGGACAAAGUAUCCGAUGUGUUCUUACUCGAACAGCCCACAUGACCAGCUCCCAUUAGCAGAACACUGGCAAUUGAUGCGUCACUUUUCUGCUUCGCUCUAGAAACAGCAUUAGGAUGGUUAUGUCAUAUUUGACUCUAUGGCGCUUGCAAUCAAUGUAAGUCUUUGUGCAGUGACGCAUUUGGUUCAGACGGUCUCAUACUCUAUUGGGGGCUGCAGGUAGCCUAGUGGUUAGAGCGUUGGGCCAGUAACCAAAAGGUUGCUGGAUCAAAUCCCCAAGCUGACAAGGUAAAAAAUCUGACGUUCU